CGUGAAUCAUCAUUCCUUUGCACUCGAGCCGUCGUACCGCGGUUAGCUAGAACGGGACAGCGAGAGGCAAAAAACCCCAACGCUGUGCUGAAGUACGUGCAUCACUUGCACGAACAAAUAAAAUAUCCAACGAGUAGAGAGCAAAAUAUGUGGGCAACUGGCAAAAAAGAAGGUAUUUGCACGCGCCGAAGGUAAACGAGAUUCGGUGCUUGUGUCGGAUGCUUUCCUAUAGGCUCCGCACACGUACAGUCACGACCACAAGCACGCGGACGGUACAGGAAGAAGUGACUCGCAAGUGAAACAAUACAUCAUACACAAACACCCCAUAGUUGGAGGAAAUUAAUAUCGCGUACGAAAGAACAACAGGCCACGGGGCUUGUAAGUGGUAGCUGUGUUGUGGCCACUGUUGCGUGUUCUUCCUUGGUGACGUAUUUUCUAGAAGUGCACGGUGCUGCCGCGCAAAACAGCAUCGUGAUUUCGUUUUUAGGAAUGCUACGACAAUGAGUGGUUUAUGACGGAUUAGCUACUGCCUGGUUUUAUGUUCACGAUUGUCCGGUGGCCGUUCAAGUGGUGAAAACUUCAACAACGUCUACUCUGUGUGUGUGUGCGUGCGUGGUGUCUAGCUAGGUGGGUGGAAAAGGGAAAAAAAGCAUCAGGAAAAUGCCACAGCGCUACGAAUAGUGAAACCGUCGGUGGGUGAACCAUUCUGCGUUCCGGAUCAGCGGAUCUGUAAUGCCGAAAAACCGCUACGAGCUACCGUCAACCAAUAGACACGGCGUACAUCCAGGGUAGGAAACGCGUUCGGUCACAACCCGUUGAGAAGAGACCGCUAUUUUAGCGCUUAGAACGCGCUCCGGUUCAUCAUAUCCGGGGUGUUGCGAGAAGAACCGCCGCGUCGAUAUUAAUUCACACGAAACACGCGGCAGGAAACGAGAAUUCGCUAGUGUGGUUGAGUGUGUGUGUGUGCGUGUUGAUUACACAGGUGCUCGCGACACAGGUGCCAUUAUCAUAUCGUCAUCCUCCGUUCGUGGCCGCAUCCACGCUCCACCGGCCCACGGCCACACAUAUCGACAGUUUUGAGUACGUGUGUGCUUUGACAUUUCGGUUUCCACGAUUGGGCGCGACAGGAUACGGUUGCUCGUGGCCGAGGAGGAGGAGGAAGAGGAGGACGACGCGGCGACGGCAGACCGAUCCGACGUUGAACGGGGACGGAGCUGGCCACCGUACGGUGCGGGGAAAUCAAACAUGACGAAAAAAUCGUUAAGAAAACCCAUCAUGGUGCUGCGUAGCCGUAAGACGGCCAUCAUCAAGGACGGCGUGAUAACGGUAAUGUAUCUCAAAAGAACUAUCUUAUUCCACACAUUUUUACCCGGCCUAUGAUGAUGACGAAGGAACCAGCAGUAAGAUAUAUUUAUUUACAUCCAGAAAAGAUAAGGCUGAAGAACAAAGAUCGAAGAUAAGCGAUGGGUAAUGCUUUUUCCUUCAGCAAGAUCGUACAUGUUUUCGCCGCCGUUCGGCUUGUCUUCAAUUUUGCAGCUUGUAUUUAAAAAUGUUAUAAUAUUGUGUAUAUUGCGGAACUGAUCUUUUUUCUAGGUUUUAUAAGAUUUGAGUGCGUGGGACAAUUUGUAGGAUAAGAAAGUAAAAUUUCAACUGUAAACAUAACAUCGGUUUGGCACUGUUUAAUUGCAUCAUUUGUACUUAUCGUUUGAAGCAAAAACGAUAAGUUCGAUUCACCUGUCAGUUGUGUAGCUAGUGAGAGCGAAAGUUUUGAGCACCGUAUCGUUUUGCGUUCGGUGCCCACUUGGAACAACAAUAUCCGCUCGCUCUCUAGUCCACCAAAUAAUCCCAGUGGGAAAAUGUUGGCAGAGAAUGAAGAACAUUGCGUUGCACUCGGGGUGAAUGAAUGGGGGGGUUGUUUUGCGGUCCUGCACUCAAAUGCACGAAGCACGAGUUCUGAGCAGCAGAUGAUACUCUCUCUUUCGUGGAAUAUACCACUAACACUUGAUGGCCAUCCGGCUCCCCCUCCUCCACCCGGAACGUAAACAUACACCCCCAUUCUUCGUCCUUCCGUUCUACCAACAAAAGUUCUGUAUUGGGGAUGAUGGGGAUGGAAAAAUUUGCACCCCAAUGGAGAGAGGAGAUGUAACGCUCACGCGCUCACGGAAACGUCCGAUCGAGAGACGGCUACGCUCUUGACGCGGCAACACGGGUCUUUUCUCGGUCAGCUUCCGACGUGGUGGCCUUCGUAUAGCAGCAGUUCGUGGUUUACCAUCGAACGCGUAUGAAGCCGUUCGUCGUUUUUGGUUUCUUAUUUUUUCGGUGAACAAAAAUGGUGGAGUCUUGUGGUGUUGUUGGAUCGUUACAGCAACGGUGACUGUUCACCACGGACAUCGAACAACCGAAACCUACGCAGUGUUUGCCUGGCAAAAGAAACAUAAAUUCCAUCUAGAAUGGGAUGAAAAACGCAUCCCAGCAGCCAGAGAGAAUACGAAGCAGCGAAAGGAAAUUGCUUCUUUCAGAGUGUCACUUUGACGGUGGUUGUUUGAGUGUGUGAAGGCGAGAAAAGUUUUUGGUGGUUUGAAAGAAUUUUCACCAGUUCAUUGUUGGUUGGAGCAAACAAAGAAAGAAGAAAAUUGCACCCUACGUGUUUGGUCCCACGGUGAAGAUCGCUAGUGUGUGUAUUCAGUUUUCCCAGUGCGACAAUAAUAAAACGUAUACAUUUCCCGUUCUGCCGUGCUUCUGGCCGUGUUAGCUAAUCCGUACCAACCGUUUGGAAACAACCUGCUGUGCAUAAUUCUAUUUCAAAUCGGAAAACCUAUCCAUACCAUAAUCUUACACCUACAGUGUGAGUGCGAGAGAGAAUCCUCAAAGAAAAAAGUGCAGUUUUAUUAAAGAAAAAAGAAUGCUUAAGCAAUAAUUCCUAUCGUACGAUUUGGUUGACAGCUCUGUGAAGAAGAUAACGUAACUAGUCGAUGUUAUGAAGACGUAAAAAAGUAUCUCUUGUCGAAAUUUUAAAACGUUGUGUGGUUGCGACACACGUACUGCAGCUGAUGCCUCAUACUCUGCCCAAGAGACGGACAUAUUUGGCACGAUUCGAACAACAACAACACACGGAAUGCAAGGCACGAUAGCACAACAGCCAGCACGGCAACAGCAACCCUGCCUGCACGGGAAACAACAACCUUCCAGAGUGAGCAAUCAAUGCGUCUGAAGCAAGACGAGACCUCGAAAGAAAAAAACACUCGAACAAAGAAGCGAACACUGUACGGUGUGCAAUUGUGAAGAAGUAUAUAGAUCGUUAAAUUCAGUGCCUCUCAACCAAUAAUACAAGCAAGCAGCAAGAAAUCCGUUCAAUUUUCACUACAAUUCAGCCACCCAACAGUGGCUCGGUGCAUAGUCUAGUUUUGACGAAUUAGCAGUAGAAAGGUACGUUGCAGGUACGUGAAAGCAGGUUGUUGGAAGACGUCCAGAGGAGUCACACCGGAUACGGAGCACAAUCAGUAUCACCACAUUGCUUAAUUUGGCGAAGAGAAGAAACAGGAACAGACACAGUACUUCCUGAGCAGACUGAAAGCUUUAACACGUGAACGGCAGGGGCUGCGUUCGAUCUGAACUGGAUGCAGUGUGUUGAAUACCUUGCGUAACCGAACCAUAAAUCUACCGAAGCGAACCAGGUGAACCACAAAACGGCCUACAGAAACAGAAGUAUAUAUUUUUAUUGCAUUACGUUGUGUGCCUGUGGUUGUCUGCUGGCUGUCGAAGACGUUUGGAAUUCAUUCGAGCAAAGAAACGCCAGCAAGAAUUGGAUUGGUGGUGUGCAGUAAAGAAGCAACGGCCCAGCGUACUAUUCCCGUCAUACCUCAACCUUUAACCUGUACGACUGUAAGGACAGCAGGAGAAAAAAUAGUUAUUUUUUCAUCGACUAUAUUCGACAAGUUCCUACGCGACGCGAAGCGAUAUUUUUUAAAAUACAUUGCGCUUGCGAUGAAGAUAUAAAAAUUCAAAGUAAAACCAUCAGCACAAAUCAUUUCCCGAAACGAAAACCACACGUCCCCGGUCCGAUAGUGAUAGGUCGUGGUCGUGAAGCUACAUCUGUCAAAGUACGGCGUUUUGCAAACGUGUCAAUAAGAGGCCACCGUGCACAAGCCGGGUUCGCAAUUCCGUCCGUCCGGUACGGUUGAUUGGCGUCGGCGUCGGAAGUUAGAUGCGUACGGUACGAAAUCGGCUAAUGUACAUAAACGCACACCGAGAAGAUUUAACCAUUCGCCCGUCGUACCAUGUGUGCCGCCGUACUGUGUUAUCGCGCAUGGUGUUAAUUUUAGAAUCGAUUCCCGCGGCACAACCUGAGGGACGAAUUUAUCCGCAAGCACAGUGAACGGUGCGCGGUAACGACCGGGACGACCAAUUCCGUACAUGCUUGUUAGCCACACUCUCUCUGUGUGCUAUUUCAGCAAGACGUAUGCAUAAUCACGCCACUGGCAGAUGGCUACCUGGUGGUUGAAGGACAGCAAAUGAGCAGCGAAAAAAUACUAGCAACGCUAGCAAAGUUCGCAGAGCGGGAAAUUCACGCAUAAGCUGUAAAUUGCAUCCCAAAAAAGGGAACACAGCUGCUUUCGCGUUUCGAUACACAGCAGGGGAACGAAUAUCGAACAAGAUCUAUUUAAGACCCACAAGCAUUACUAGUUAAAUGAGCCCAAGUCGCUGUCAUUAUUGUUAUCACUGUUGUUGUUGUGGCAGCGGAAGCCGGAAUAGAACCAUUAGCAGCAGUAGCGGACGGAUCGGUGGCCGAGGUCCGCUUGGCUGGAUGCAGCUUUGGCAGCGCAAAGUAGCAAUCGCUGGCAGCAGGGAAAAGUUUGCCGAUUAACCGUGCGGCGCCGUGUACCAAGCAGUGGAAAAAGGGGGUCAAUUCGUUGGUAAAGCGAAGGCAACGGUAUAGUACAAGUGAUGGAGCAUUCGGCAAAGUUGUUGGCCGGUGGUGCGGGUGACGCCAGCACGGAAGAGUCGCACGUCGUGGGUGAGGCGGCACCAGCAGUUCCUGGUGUUGCGUGUCAUCCGAGCCCGCAGCUACGGCCAGCAACCGGAAAUGCAAGUGAUGCGGUAGUCUGUGAUAGAAGUAACGUGGUUACUAUGGAAGCAGUUGGCGAAACCUUACCACUGUCCGGGCGUUCGUUGGAUGCAGAGCUGGGGGAGGACAACUGCACCGAUACGGAUGAUCAGAAUAGUAAUUAUCUAAGCAUUAGUAAUAGUCGCAGCAGUAGCUGCUUUGACCUACCUGGAGAGUGCUCACCAAUGAUGGGCGCAACGAGAUUGCCGAUGUCGAAAGCAGACGAGAGCCGAGUAACGCUGGUUAACGAAAGGUAUAUACAAUCGGUAAAUGCCGCCGUACCUGCGCAAUCCCAGCGACAGGUUCAAGUUGCUGGGAGUAGUAAGAUUUCUGGGUCAAAGCAACGACUCGAUUACGGUGAGGAGGACGCCGAGGAGGAAGAUGACGAUGAGGAGGAUUCGUCGAUGUUAACGCAUUCAGCCGCAACGACGGCAACCGUUUCGUCCAACAAAUCCCGUAUACUUGUGGCCUCGGAACAGCAGCCCGGAUGUUCGGGCAGCAGAGGUCCGGAUGCUGGCGUUUGCUGUAACAUCGUGGACAAUCCGGUCAGCGAUACGGCCACGGCGAUCGACGUCGGAAGUACGGGUAAUAGCGCACAGGAUGGUACGCGCACAUCGGCGGCAACUGGGACGGCUAAUGGAGUUGUGGCCGGUGGCAGUGGAAACCCACACAGCCGUGUCACGACGACUCCCUCAAACUUAAGCAAUUGCAGUGGCCUACCGACUGUCACCGUGGUGCAGCUGAAGCAGAGCAAAAAUCUCAUCUACUUCCUGCGAUUGAUCUUCAAUCACUGUAAGAGCUCCGGUAUAGGAGAACCGAGCGUUUAUCAUGCCUUAGUAGUCAUAUUUUUGGAAUUUUUCGCCUGGGGACUUUUAACGAUGCCUGUCAUAAAUGUUCUCAAUCAAACCUUCCCAGAUCACACCUUCCUUAUGAACGGGUUGGUAAUGGGCAUAAAGGGCAUACUAUCAUUCCUGAGCGCUCCACUGAUUGGUGCCCUUUCGGACGUGUGGGGCCGGAAAUUCUUUCUGCUAAUUACGGUGUUUUUCACCUGCGCUCCGAUUCCACUUAUGUCGAUCAACUCAUGGUGGUUCUUCGCAAUGAUCUCAAUCAGCGGUGUGUUCGCGGUAACGUUUUCCGUUGUGUUUGCUUAUGUAGCAGACGUUACGACAGUGGAGGAUCGUUCACGAGCGUAUGGUCUGGUGUCAGCCACCUUUGCCGCUAGUUUGGUUAUUUCACCUGCACUCGGAGCUUACUUGAACGACAAAUACUCGGAACCGUUAAUUGUAGCCCUGGCCACGGCAAUCGCUGUGCUGGAUGUGUUCUUCAUUCUGGUGGCGGUGCCGGAAAGUUUACCGGAAAAAGUACGACCCAGCUCAUGGGGAGCCCCGAUCAGCUGGGAACAGGCAGAUCCGUUUGCGGCGCUCCGUAAAGUUGGUCUGGAUCAAACGAUUCUGAUGCAGUGUGUUACGGUGCUGCUCUCUUAUCUGCCAGAAGCGGGACAAUAUUCGUGCAUUUUCGUCUACCUGAAACUGAAAAUGCAUUUCAGCUCGAUCGAUGUAUCGAUCUUUAUUGCUGUCGUCGGUAUACUAAGUAUACUGACGCAGGUCAUCCUAGGUGAUCUAAUGAAGGCACUUGGUGCAAAGCGUACAAUAAUAAUAGGAUUACUGUUCGAAAUGUUACAACUGCUUUGGUAUGGUUUUGGCAGUCAGACAUGGAUGAUGUGGGCAGCAGGUAUCCUUGCUUCAUUAGCGUCAAUUACGUAUCCGGCGAUCAGCGCAUUCGUGUCGAUACAUUCCAACCCGGACCAACAAGGGGUGGUCCAGGGUAUGGUGACAGGGAUGCGCGGCCUCUGUAACGGUCUAGGGCCAGCAAUGUUCGGCGUCAUUUUCUACGUAUUUCACGUCGACCUGAACGACGAGCAUAAUGUGGCGAGCCAUAGUCUUAACGGAGCCGCUAUUGGUGCUGUGGCUGGUGGAGGAGUUUUCGACGGAUCCGAUGCAAAGUUUGUGCGUAACGAGACGCUACUCGGCGGCUCGGUGCACCAUCACAUCGAGGACGAGUACUCACAGCUAAUGCCGGGCCCUCCGUUCGUGUUCGGGGCGCUGAUGGUUAUAUGCGCCAUCGCCGUGGCAGCAUUCAUUCCGGAGACGCCAAGCGAUACGAUCCGGCGGCCAUCGGGUGAGAAGAAAAAAAGCGGCUAUCGGAGCCAAGACAGAUUGACCGUUCUUAUUGGAGACUGAUUAGCGCGGUGAUAAGCAACGGGCGAUAUACAACAAUUCGAUCGCCCAAAGAAAGAGGGAACAGAAGAAACGGACAGAAAAGUGCGAGCAUAGACUUUUUCACGAACCUCACCAAACCAUUAACACCAGCCAUUGCACUCUUUGCUACCCUUUGUGUGCCGCACUUAGCUCACUGGAUAGUUUGAAACAUUGCAAAAGUAUCCACCUGAAUUGCUACCGACCCUUGUGGAAGUUGUGUGUUGGUUAUGAAUUCAUUUUACUUUUCCGUUUUAUUACCAUCAUUAACACACCCACUACGAGGGAAUACUUAUCCCAGCAAAGGCGGUUUGUUUUGAAUGGCUCUCGUUGGAUGUCGAUUAUGAAUACGAGCGUGGGCGUAAGGUAGCUGGCCCACUGUCACCACUGAUGCACCAGGACUCUGCUCAGCUAUAGUUGUGUUGAAAGUAACUUAGCACCCGCUGCACGUUGGUGGUGUUACGCGCUCGCUAUAAUCCUAAUCGUCGUCAUCAUUAGUUUGUACAAUCUAGUGUAAGCAGCAAAUGAAACACCUUUGGUAACACUGAGAAACCGAGAAUGGAUGUAGCGUGCAGGAAACAUGUAAAUCAAGGUCUAGGCAGGGUAGCGUUUUUGGUAACGUGGCGGAGUGGUGGUAUGUUGUUGGCGGAAGAAAUGUGUGCUGUAUAAAAUGUAUUAAUCUGUUUGCUUUGUUUCGGACUAUGAAAGCUCAUGGCGUUCCCCCUGUGGUUGUUACAUAAAACAGUAUCGUGAGUUAUUGUCACUUAAAACCAUGAUCUGUUUCCUUCAAUGGCUGGUUAAGGUUUCUCUUUUCAUGAUUUGUUUUAUAAGUAUUGUUUGUUGAAAAGAAAUAUUUGUUCAUGUGUACGGUUCUUUUUUUCUAUUUUCUCUAUUUUAGAUUGUGUAUGUGCAUGGUGGUUAUCGACCAAAAGUGUACUUUUAAACGAUUACUGAUUUGUUAGGAUGGAAAGCUUUAAACAAAAACCCAAACUGUGUUGUACGGUACGAAAGUUUUGAAACAUAUAACUACCGCUCUGGCAGUUGUGGCACAACGAACCUACAUAGGACCGUAACGCUUUUAAAGAAUUUUUCAAAGUAUGUCCAAUUGUUUUCCUUAGUCUAGUCAAUUGACGGACACACUUAACGAGAAGAUGUAAAAACACACAGCUGAUGCUGGUAUUACCGGGUUUGGGAUUACCUUCACGAACACUAACUAAUUGUGCGUUAUUUUCUAGCGUGCGAUAUUUUAGUGUUGAUAGUAAGGAAAUGUUUUGGUGACGGAAGGAGAAUGACGUGUAUAAAUUAGGACUGAAAGUGGAAAUGGGUAUAUAACGCGCGAGGAAGAGUAUUUUUGUCCGUGGUUCGCUUAGUCUACGACAAGGAAACCGAGUGAUAGUAGGAUAAGAUUAUCGUUUAGCAAAAACAGGAAGGAGCGUGGAAGGAGAAACAAACGAGCAGCUAGUGUGUGCGUGUGUGGAAAGCAACAAAUCAGAACGUUACAGUGUUACACAUCUAUCCGUAAUACCGAAAAACAAAGGCACUACCAUUAGGUUUUUUAGCUAACUGGAGCAUAUGUUAAGUGUACUGUGUAAAUUAUGUUAAAAUAGAAUGUUUCAAGAAUUUAAGGACAUCGUUUGACUUUGAUUCGAUUUAACUGCUGCAUCAGAAAUGCGAUUGAAAGGAAGAUGAUUUAAAUUCGUUAAUACCGGACACAGUUGAAGCAAGUCAGGAGCCUCCCAAUUCAUUUGCGGUCAUGUGGCAGAUGUGUGUCGUCAAUGGCAUGUUUACCUGUAUGCAGUAGAAAAGGUGCAAAGAGAUUUCCUUUAUAUAACACCGCCAAUAGCAUCCCAAGGUGUAUGGCAUCAACAAGUUACUUUUGAGUAUCAAUGCGUACGAUAAGCUCAUGAUUCAGGUUGAAUAUAUGUACAACUUCAUUAGGCACUACGUGUUGGGAAAAUUGUUUACGAUCGAUUCGUUUCCUCCAACACAGAUAAGAAUAAUGCCAUACGUAUCUGCAAAUUGACAUACCAGCACGAAAUCUUUAGUGUAAUAUAAGAAAACAUGUACAUGUCAGAAGUAAAAGCAAAAAACCAAGUUACAUAGCAGUACCAGAAUUAAAUCCAGAGGUAAAUAAAAUAGUGAUAGCCAUGUAAAUGCCACUCGUCGCCGUAGGGCAGAACAUCGUACACCGUUACGAUGAUCUUAGGCCGGGCAUUUGUAACAAAAUGCAAUGUCUGAUCUUGGAUGAUCGUGACUGGAUCUACUAGGCGAGACACACUGUUAGUCCAAAGAUUAUGAAUUAACUUGAACUACUAGCGCUAGAGAGUUAGUAUUACGCAUAAAAGCAUCAAGCGUUGCGACGAGCGUUUUAAGAUACAAAUGUCGCGGAAAACAAAUGUUGCAGCUGGGACACAUGUCAUCUAAGCGGGCAGAUAAAAACAAGUAACAAAAAAAAAACAAUAAAAUACAAAACCAACAUAAGUAAUGGAAUCUAACAUACGACAAAUGCAAAGGGACGGUAGGGGAAAUUAGUUCCAUUUGUUUUGGUCCCGAACUUCUCUGCAUGCAACGAAAUGAUCGAAUUGCGUUGAAAUGAAAGAUGGCGUUUGUUGCAUAAGGAACGGCGGUAACUAGCUGCCGUAACCUAGCCCGAAAACUUUGCGCGAUAUCACACAGUAGGAACAUGUUUUUUGUAGUGUCCAGGAAAUACGUUUUUGGGAAGCAGAAAAUGCAAAACAUCAAUCAAAAAGCAAAGCGAAUAUAAGCUGUUGUUAAACCGUUUUAUCUUAACUAGCCCUUUUGUUUUCUAUCGGCUAGAAACGCUACUUCAUCUCUGCGGUCUAGCAGCAGCCUUUUAUGGUGAUGCAAAUAAAUAGAAACAUUCUUUCUUACACACUUGACACACAACACACAUCCAGGCGUUCAUGCCGAAUCAACAACACCAAUGUACUGAAGUGUUGCUAGCGUGUCCUUAUGUUUCCCCCCCCCCCCCCCGUGUGCCGUUUACGAUACGCUUUUCUACGCGGCUCUGUUUGUGAACCAUUUGUUUUUGUGUUCAUUAUCUCGGGAGAACACUUGUGCAAGUGAAGGUACCGUAGAGGCAUAGAGAAAUUUGAAAAUAAAAGCCAUACGCGGGCAUAUAUAAGGAAAAACAGCGAAAUCAAAGCGUUACAUACAUCCUUUUUUCUUUCAAUAUUUUUCUCUCUAUCUCUCCCCAGCUGAGCUUUUCGAAAGCAUUUCAAAAGGCGAAAAUGAUGGAGAGGAGGGGAGCGAGAAAGAUAUUUGAGAGCAAACGUAGAACAGCCCAGUUAAGUAAAUUUGUAAAUCGUAAGACAACAAAACCAGGAAUAAGAAAGUAUGCGAUGAGGAGAAAAACCGUACCGAAACCGUACAGUGGAAAUACAGAAUCUAAACCGGUUAGAGAAACCAAGCUGUAAAACAAUUGUAAGGUGAUAGUAGCUGAUGGCUGAUAGUUGUGUUGGGUGAAUGUGUAUAGGACGAAGAAUGGAAAAGGUGGGUGUGCUAGGUUAACCCAAUAACCGUGAACCGUUGAACGUGUUGAGAACGAGAAGGGAAUGGGUAGGCAAACGAAUGAAGAGAAGAAGUGAAAUAAAUAUUGGUAAAAUAAUUUGAACAAAA